rnacentral:rRNA from 1 species
GACGAACGCUGGCGGCGUGCUUAACACAUGCAAGUCGAACGGUGAAGCGCCUUCCUUUUUGGUGGGUGUGGAUGAGUGGCGAACGGGUGAGUAACACGUGAGUAACCUGCCCCCUUCUUCUGGAUAACCGCAUGAAAGUGUGGCUAAUACGGGAUAUUCUGGGUCUGUCGCAUGAUGGGUCUGGGAAAGAUAUUGUUUCGGUGGGGGAUGGGCUCGCGGCCUAUCAGCUUGUUGGUGGGGUGAUGGCCUACCAAGGCGAUGACGGGUAGCCGGCCUGGGAGGGUGGACGGUCACACUGGGACUGAGACACGGCGCAGACUGCUACGGGAGGCAGCAGUGGGGAAUAUUGCACAAUGGGCGCAAGCCUGAUGCAGCGACGCCGCGUGAGGGAUGGAGGCCUUCGGGUUGUGAACCUCUUUCGCCAGUGAAGCAGGCCUGCCUCGUUUGUGGGUGGGUUGACGGUAGCUGGAUAAGAAGCGCCGGCUAACUACGUG